AACACAUGCAAGUCGAGCGGAUGAGAGGUGCUUGCAUCUCGAUUCAGCGGCGGACGGGUGAGUAAUGCCUAGGAAUCUGCCUGGUAGUGGGGGACAACGUUUCGAAAGGAACGCUAAUACCGCAUACGUCCUACGGGAGAAAGCAGGGGACCUUCGGGCCUUGCGCUAUCAGAUGAGCCUAGGUCGGAUUAGCUAGUUGGUGGGGUAAAGGCUCACCAAGGCGACGAUCCGUAACUGGUCUGAGAGGAUGAUCAGUCACACUGGAACUGAGACACGGUCCAGACUCCUACGGGAGGCAGCAGUGGGGAAUAUUGGACAAUGGGCGAAAGCCUGAUCCAGCCAUGCCGCGUGUGUGAAGAAGGUCUUCGGAUUGUAAAGCACUUUAAGUUGGGAGGAAGGGCAUUAACCUAAUACGUUGGUGUUUUGACGUUACCGACAGAAUAAGCACCGGCUAACUUCGUGCCAGCAGCCGCGGUAAUACGAAGGGUGCAAGCGUUAAUCGGAAUUACUGGGCGUAAAGCGCGCGUAGGUGGUUCAGCAAGUUGGAUGUGAAAGCCCCCGGGGCUCAACCUGGGAACUGCAUCCAAAACUACUGAGCUAGAGUAUGGUAGAGGGUGGUGGAAUUUCCUGUGUAGCGGUGAAAUGCGUAGAUAUAGGAAGGAACACCAGUGGCGAAGG
rnacentral:rRNA from 1 species